rnacentral:rRNA from 1 species
UACGGGGGGAGCAAGCGUUGUUCGGAUUUACUGGGCGUAAAGGGCGCGUAGGCGGCACCGCAAGUCGACUGUGAAAUCUCCGGGCUUAACUCGGAAAGGUCAGCCGAUACUGCGGGGCUAGAGUGCAGAAGGGGCAACUGGAAUUCUCGGUGUAGCGGUGAAAUGCGUAGAUAUCGAGAGGAACACCUGCGGCGAAGGCAAUCCCCUGGGCCUGCACUGACGCUCAUGCACGAAAGCGUGGGGAGCAAACAGG